AGGGUCAGGCAGGAAAAGAGCAAUCCCAGCAACAGCGGGAAGCCGGGAAGCCAGCUGGCCUGCUCCUACAGGUCCCCAGCUUGCCUGCGUCCCAGUCCCGAUCCCAGCCACUCGGCUCCCUCCCCUGGGAGAAUGUCCUCGCUGCCCGGAGGCCCAGCAGCCAGAAUGAGGCAGGAGGCAGGGCUGGGACGCACCGUGGGGCCCCUCUCUGCCUGACAGCCGCCCUGAGGACAGACCUGAAGCUCCCCUCGGAAGGAGCGGGAGCGGGGGAGCGGGUGCUCCUCUCCCUUCUGGCUGGCGGGAGAGAGGCUUGGGAACCAGCUUUCAGUUUGCUUGCACUCGCCAGAGUCCCCGCUCCUUCUCUGGUUUUCUGCCUUUACCCCAGUGACCCCGGAAGCAGAGCCUUCCCUCCGACCCUCCCUCUGGGGCCCACCUAAAUGCAGCCUCUGGAAAGGGUCUGCUCCCUUGUCCUCCCACCCCCACCCCUACAGGGAUCUUGCGCCAUUUCGCUGUUGUCCGCAGUUCAAGGCACUGCCUUCCCCGGGCAGCAACCACGCAGAGGCUUCGUCUGGUUUUAUUUUUUACCCCAUUUAUUCCCAAAUCCCUCAUUCCUGUGUCAACCCCACCUCCUAGAGGCACAAGCUCUUGUGGGCCGCGAGCCUGGAUGAGGCGGCCGGGGGCUGCACCCGCCCCCUCCUCUACUCCUCUGCGCACACGGCAUGCUGCUGACUGCUGGGGGUCCCGUCCCGCCCGCACAAAAGCCCUCCUGCAGGUCCGUCCUGGGCCAACUUGCCGGUGGCGCGCGUGUGUCCCCAGAAGUGGAAUUUCCGGCCCCUCCGUGAUGACACACUCAGCUUUCCCGAGCAAUGCCUGGCGGCCUCGGGAGUGCUGUGACGGUCCCCGUGUCCCCAGAUCGUCCACGGUCUGCUGGCUCACCAGCUUCUGCCAGGCCGAGGGGCGCGCAGACCCAGACCGGCACCUCACCGCCGUUGUGCUCGCGUGAUUGUAGAGAGACACGCAGUCGUGAGAAACAGAUCCCAUAGAUGCUUCUGUGCAUUUUCCCUGAUUGUCACCUAACUACAAUGCGGAAUCACCCCGGAAAUUUAUAUUUAAACAGUCUGUUGACUUUAUCCAGAUGUCGUCACUUUUACAGAAAAUGGCAGUUAUUAUUGCUUUGAUUAUAGAAGCAAUACACAUUUAUUAUAAAAUAUUUGAAAAAUGAAGAAAAUAGUAAGUCAAAAUCGGACUACCCAGAAACAAUAAUGAGUCAUAUUGGAUGUCUUUUCUGGUUCCCUCCGUAGACAGGACUGAUUAAUCUGUAGGGUUCAGACUGAUUGAUAUUCUUGGCACAAUGAAGAGCUGAGCCCUUCCAGCGAUGUGGCCGCUGGAGCGUCCUGUGAGGUUCAUCCACGUGAAGGGUGAGGAGGAAUGCCUCGGCAGCCGGCAGACGGACAAAGUCACCUCCAUGCGGAGACGUGAGUGACUGCAGAUUUCUAGAGAGGACGUGGGGAGUAGGAAGUGUAGCUGGAACCUGUGUCCAGUUGGCAGGUAACUGGGUGAGGGCGCCGUGGGGUCUUCCAACGAGCCAGUGCGCUGGGAAGAGCAUCCACGGAGCCUUUCAGAAAACAUUACCUGAAUGGACGAUCUAGUCACGGGCUUCAUCCGAGUAACCAGGCUGCAGCGGUCAUCUGCACGAGGGGACGGUGGUGAGGAUGGCGCGGCCACCUGACCGCGGGGUCCAUGCUCCCACCCGCCCCGCGGUCAAGGCCGUGCAGGUGGGUGGUGCAAAACCGUGCAGCUGUCCAGAAUCGGGAGAUUAGGGACGCAGGGGAGGGGCAUGGGCUCCGACAGGAACUGGUGAGCUCAACACUCACUGAGGAAAGACAAUAGGUAUUGUCUACAUUUUACAAAGCAAGAAAGAGUUUUCAGUAGCCUAUUUAAAGUUAUCAAUGUGACCACAGGCAAGACUAAAACUACCCCAACCCUUGAGGAAACACAUAGGCGCACACACAGACAUCGGACGAUGUCGAACGCUGUCUCACUCAGAUUUUGGUGAAAAAGAAAUGCGCGUAGCCGUUGAAUGUCUAAAGAGACUCGGAUCUGCAUUUAUAUUUAAGCAGCUGGAAAUCAAAGACACGUGAUCCAGCGUGGGUGGGAUAUAACUCAGGGCAUUCUGAGAUAGCUAUCAAAUGGAAGAAGGCAUGCUCCUCUAAGUCAUCGGAUUCCAGGAGUUAAAAUACACCGGAAAUACAUCUGACUCGUGCAGAUUCUUCUCCUCCCAAAACCAUGUUUCAGUGUGACAAGUUUCCCUCUAUAACUGUUUGAAAAAUUAACGUUCUGGGAACCGUAAAAAUAUCCAUGUCUAUGGGAUUGGUUAAACAAACUGUCCUGUCCAUGAGAUGAAUUUUAAGCCACCUUUAAAGAAAGAAAGGUGUAGAUCUGUUUGUUGAUAUUGAUGACAUAGUAUUAAUUAUCAUAGAAAGUCAAGAGUAUGGAUUAUAUAUAUACGUAAUUAUUAAAUUGUAUAAAGGAUGUGCAUAUGUAAGAUUUUGCAUGAACAUGUAUCUUAUAGAGGACACAAGAAAAUGUUAGUGCUGUGCUUCCUUCGGAGGAAAGGACAAUUUUAUCUUUCACGUUAUAAUCCUCUGUACCUUUUGAAUUUUUGAAAAUCGGCAUUUACUACUGUUUUUUGUGAUGUGUUUAUUUAAUCUCCCCCCACCUUUUUAUUUUUUUAUUUUUUUACGAUUUUAUUUAUUUAUUUGACAGAGAGAGACAGUGAGAGAGGGAACACAAGCAGGAGGAGUGGGAGAGGGAGAAGCAGGCUCCCCGCGGAGCAGGGAGCCCGAUGCGGGGCUCGAUCCCAGGACCCUGGGAUCAUGACCUGAGCCGAAGGCAGACGCUUAACUGACUGAGCCACCCAGGCAUCCCUCCCCCCACCUUUUAAAAUUGAAGUAUAGUUGACACAUGAUGUUACAUCAGUGUCAGGUGCAACAGAGUGAUUCAACAAGUCUGUGCAUUCAUUGUGCGGUGCUCCCCACGAGAGUCGUUACCACCUGUCACUGGAAAGCCCAUGACGGUACCAUCGACUCGACUCCCUAGGCUGUGCCUUCCAUUCCGUGACUUACUCCAUAACUGGAAACCUGGGCCUCCCUCUCCCGUCCCCACCCCCUCCCCCCACGACCAUCAGUGUGUUCUCUGUAUUUAUAGGACUGAUUCUGUUUUGUUUAUUCAUUUGUUUUGUUUUUUAGAUUGCACAUAUAAGUGAAAUCAUACGGUAUUUGUCUUUCUCUGUCUGACUUACUUCACUUAGCGUAAUACCCUCUAGGUCCAUCCAUGUUGUUGCAAAUGGCAAGAUUCAUUUUUUAUGACUGAGUAAUAUUCCAUAUCUCUAUUUAUCUCUCAUCUAUCUAUCUAUCUAUCUAUCUAUCUAUCUAUCUAUCUAUCUAUCUAUCUAUCUAUCUAUCAUGUCUGUCCCCAAGUGAAAUACUGCCCAUGCUGCUCUACAAACCCCUUUUGCAAAGAACACUCAACCUUCCAUAUCUUUCAAGCGCAUCUGUCUCAUCCUUUUCAAUGUGUGCCUGGGAUUUCCAAUAUGGUGGUAGGAACACACAUUCUUGGAAAAUCAGAAAACCUUCCUGAAACACUGGCGAACGGUGACUUUGAAAUUGCUUCCCAGGGCAGAGAGGAGCCGGGUGCUGGCGCCCUGCACGGCGGGGGUGGGGGUCCCAGGUGAGGGGUCUGAGCCGAGCCGAAACCCUGCUACCCGUGGUUUCCCUCUGCCCAGCAAGGACUCCAGGGAAACUCCCUCCCUGCUGCUCUCCUGGCAUUUCUCCUCCUGUACCCCAAGCUCAUGUGUGUGUGUGUGUGUGUGUAUGAAAUUACUGCUAACCCAGUGGUAGGAAAGCCUUUCUCGGAGUCUGCCAGCCCCCCGGUGACCAGACAGGGAGGAGACCGACUCUAAAGCCACCGACCUUAUUGCUUUGAGAACAAACCUGAGGUGCUCCGUCAGCUCCGUCUGCCGUUACAGACCAGACCGCAGAGCCCACAGCACAGAACACGUGGUCAUUCCUCCUGCCAGGCUGUGACCCUCAGAAGACUGACCCCACCCCGGGGCAGGGGCAUCCAAGAGGAGCCCUACGGGUCACUCGUCCAGCAAGCCUGCAUUAGGAGGUUUCACACCUGUGGGUCCCUGCCACAGCGCACAGCUCUUCCCCACGAACACGGUCCUGCCUCCCCUCGGUGACCGAGGGUCAGCAGUGGGCCAGGUCACAGUUCAGCAGGUCACAGCAGGUCAUGGUUCCUACUGGGGUCACCCGGCCACUCUUACUAGUUCCUGCUUUUAUUCUUUAUCUUUGCCGUAUCCAGCUCUGGAAAUGAGGGCUUUUCUCAGCUCACUGACUCCGGUUUCACGUUCUGCUGGGCAGGAAGAGAGCGGGUCACGACUGGGAGUCAGGAGGACCCCUGGCUGGGGACAAGAGGUAUCGAUUCCUUCCUCCCGGAGCCCUCCAUGCAGAUGGAGAGAAGAAGAGGGAAUACGCUGCCCUGCGGGGCUCUGCAUCCUUGCUGGAGCCUUCCUGAGCACACUGGCAGGACAGAUCCACCCUGCUCCCCCGAGCUCGCUUCCUGUCCCCGAAGGACUUGUGGACAUGGAGGGGCCCCAGGGCAACCCUCCUGUUUGGUGGUUUCUUAAUCGUUUGUGCUCAUGCUGAUCCUUGUGUGUGGAUCAUGUGAUAGACCUUGUUCUGAGACUUUUUUCCACUAAAAGUGUACUAUGAAACUCAAAGCCUUCCUUUUUCUUUUUACUGAUCGGAUAAUCUGUCACAGCAUGGAGGUCAUGAGUCACUCAUUCACCAUCCCAUCGACGGGCGUGCGGGGCUGCUAGGGUCUUCCUCUGCCAGGGUUGGUGUGGAGACCGUCCUCACUGACGUCUGAACGUAGCGCCCGUUAUCUGCCCACCUCGCUGCCCCGUUUCUCGGGGACAUCAAGGACAGAGCACAGGCAAGGUUGUUCUCCUGCAGAGCCGCCUCUGGGGACCCAGUCACGGUAUGACCUCACUGCUUUUGAAUUUUCUUUCCACCAGACCCUGUUCCUGGGUGUGGUUGCUCCUUCCCCCUGUUAUGUUCUUCCAGGCUCUGCAGAAAAAAAAAAGGAAUUCAUGGACCAGGUUCUUGUAUGAAGGCCAUUUGGAAAAUUCAUGGGCUGUUUUUGGGAAAGUGUUCUGCCUUUUUUCUAAAUAAGGGGAGAGAAGACAGGAUGAUUAAUCCAGGCGAGGCCUCCCAUAAUCUGGGAAUUAAUUCUUCCAAAUUUCUCUUGGGCUCAGGAGGAGUGUUGGCCUGGUGAAGGCAUGACUUCAAGCCUGGCCCAUGCCGGCACUCUGUAGGUGGCCAGGCUCAGCGCGGGCUUUGCAGCGGGCCCUCCCCCAAGCACUGGCCUGGGAGCUGGACCCUGCCCCACCAGUGGCUCCACUCCCAGCCGCAAAGGUGAUUUGGCCAGACUCCAUCAGUGCUUUCCUUUUAGGGUAAAAUGCACAGAGGUAAGAAACCUUCAUUAUGCGCCACUGUUUUCGGCUUGGAAAAAAAAUGUGAAGGUCAAUGUUGUAGAUUUUUUAAAUGAUAAUACCUUGUAACGUUGCUAAAACAG